UACGGGGGGGGGCAAGCGUUGUUCGGAAUUACUGGGCGUAAAGCGUGCGCAGGCGGCUUUGCAAGACAGAUGUGAAAGCCCCGGGCUUAACCUGGGAAUGGCAUUGGAAACUGGCGGGCUUGAGUGUGGCAGAGGGGGGUGGAAUUCCGCGUGUAGCAGUGAAAUGCGUAGAGAUGCGGAGGAACACCGAUGGCGAAGGCAGCCCCCUGGGCUAACACUGACGCUCAGGCACGAAAGCGUGGGGGAGCAAACAGG
rnacentral:rRNA from 1 species